CCUACGGGAUGCAGCAGUGAGGAAUAUUGGUCACUGGGCGCAAGCCUGAACCAGCCAAGUCGCGUGAGGGAUGACGGUCCUAUUGAUUGUAAACCUCUUUUGUCGGGGAGCCAGGCCCGCCACGUGUGGCGGGAAGGAGAGUACCCGAAGAAACAGCAUCGGCUAACUCCGUGCCAGCAGACGCGGUAAUACGGAGGAUGCGAGCGUUAUCCGGAUUUAUUGGGUUUAAAGGGUGCGUAGGGUGAAGGUUAAGUCAGCGGUAAAAUGUCGGUGCUCAACAAGGACUUGCCGUUGAAACUGGUAUUGUUGAGUGAGCGAGAGGUAUGCGGAAUGCGUGGUGUAGCGGUGAAAUGCAUAGAUAUCACGAAGAACUCCGAUUGCGAAGGCAGCAUACCGGCACUCAACUGACGCUGAGGCACGAAAGCGUGGGGAUCGAACAGGAUUAGAUACCCCGGUAGUC
rnacentral:rRNA from 1 species